rnacentral:tRNA from 1 species
UCUAAUAUGGCAGAAUAGUGCAAUGAAUUUAAGCUUCAUAUAUAAAGAUUACUCUUUUUUUAGAA